GACGAACGCUGGCGGCGUGCUUAACACAUGCAAGUCGAGCGGUAAGGCCCUUUCGGGGGUACACGAGCGGCGAACGGGUGAGUAACACGUGGGUGACCUGCCCUCAGCUCUGGGAUAAGCCUGGGAAACUGGGUCUAAUACCGGAUAUGACUCCAUGACGCAUGUUGUGGGGUGGAAAGCCUUGUGCGGCUGAGGAUGGGCCCGCGGCCUAUCAGCUUGUUGGUGGGGGGAUGGCCUACCAAGGCGACGACGGGUAGCCGGCCUGAGAGGGCGACCGGCCACACUGGGACUGAGACACGGCCCAGACUCCUACGGGAGGCAGCAGUGGGGAAUCUUGCGCAAUGGGCGAAAGCCUGACGCAGCGACGCCGCGUGAGGGAUGACGGCCU
rnacentral:rRNA from 1 species